rnacentral:rRNA from 1 species
CACGUAGGCUGCUUUGUAAGUCAGGGGUGAAAUCCAACGGCUCAACCGUGGAACUGCCUUUGAUACUGCUUAGCUUGAAUCCGGGAGAGGGUGGCGGAAUUCCAGGUGUAGGAGUGAAAUCCGUAGAUAUCUGGAGGAACAUCAGUGGCGAAGGCGGCCACCUGGACCGGUAUUGACGCUGAGGUGCGAAAGCGUGGGGAGCAAACA